rnacentral:sRNA from 1 species
GGACAGGCCACUCUGUUCUGAUGCAUUAUCUAUUGAUUUAUCGUGUAAUCGUUGCAACAGCCCUGUACGAUAAGUUCUGUCAUUAACCCCAUAGUACAGAUGAGGAUGCUGAGGCACAGAGAAGGUAAGGGACUUGUCCUGUGUCACACAGCAAGGAGCCAUCCGGCUCCUAAGUCGGUGCAUUUGACUUCUGUGCUUCCGGAAAGAAAGAGCAGCAAGUUCAAGAUCUGGAGGUGGCACUGAGCUUUGGAGGAACAGGGGGCAAUGAGGUGGCCGGUGUGACGAGGACUCAAUGUGCAAGAGGGAGAGUGGGGGGGAGAUGAGGUGGAGGGGUGGUCGGCGGUCAGAUCAUGGAGGGUGUCGGAGGAGGGUCCUGACCCUGGGUCUUCAGUCUUGGGAAGUGGAGCCCAGGCUGUACCAUGGCUGACCUCAGCUCAUGGCUUCCCCUCCCACUUCCAGCCUACAGGGAGCCCUUCGAGCAGCACCUCCUGCUGGGCGUCAGCAUUUCCUGCCUUGUCAUCCUGGCCGUCUGCGUGUUGUGCUAUGUCAGCAUCACCAAGAUUAAGAAAGAAUGGUGGGAUCAGAUUCCCAACCCAGCCCGCAGCCGCCUCGUGGCUAUAAUAAUCCAGGAUGCUCCGGUGUCACAGUGGGAGAAGCGGUCCCGAGGCCAGGAACCAGCCAAGUGCCCACACUGGAAGAAUUGUCUUACCAAGCUCUUGCCCUGUUUUCUGGA